rnacentral:rRNA from 1 species
UACGGAGGAUCCAAGCGUUAUCCGGAUUUAUUGGGUUUAAAGGGUGCGCAGGCGGAAUUAUAAGUCAGUGGUGAAAUCCUGCAGCUUAACUGCAGAACUGCCAUUGAUACUGUUAUUCUUGAGUAUAGUUGAAGUGGGCGGAAUGUGUCAUGUAGCGGUGAAAUGCUUAGAUAUGACACAGAACACCAAUUGCGAAGGCAGCUCACUAAGCUAUAACUGACGCUCAUGCACGAAAGCGUGGGGAUCAAACAGG